GUUAUUUUUCCCCUCUAGCGUCUUUGAGCGUCACGCUUCAGGCGACAAAACGCUCAGGUGUGAAUGCAGCCUUAGGGCAGUGGUUCCCAACUCCUGUUCUCAGGACCCACCAACAGGCCAGACUUUAAGUAUUACCUUGGGAGAUGCAGACUAGAAUACUGCGAUCGCUGAGCUGCAAAUUCUAUCACCUGUGAUUUAUUUGAGUUAUGUUGCAAACCUGACCUGUUUGUGGGCCCUGAGGAUGGAAGUUGAGUACCACUGAUUUUGGUCAUGGGUGCUCAACAUGUGACCCUCUAGCUCAUACCGUAGUUUGAGGAUCCCUGCUCUAGCUAUUGCAGAAUUACAAGUCACAUGAGGCAUUGCAAGGCUGACCGUUACAAGCAUGACUCCCAAAGGCAGAGACAUGAUGGGACUUUUAGUUUCGCAACAGCUGGAAGGCCACACGUUGAGCACCCCUGAUUUAGGAUGUUCUCAUUUUGAUGUUCAGUAUUCUCAUGCAGUUCCGCAAUGGGCCUGUAGGUGGGGCUUUUACUGUAAGCUAAGGCCUAAUUUACACAGGUAUGCCAUUAUAAAUUUAUAGGACAUCUCUAAAUGCUUAUAAAUGUAUAGAAUUAUUUUAAAUGGUAUAUUUCACUUUGUGCAUUUACCUUUGUUUGGACACGUUCAGGUUUUUUUGUGUGCGAAAUUCUCUUCGUAGAUACUUUGAACGUGGUUAAACACAUGUACAUUUAAAUGCAGGAGAACAUAAUUUGGCAAGUAUAAAAUAUAAUUAUACGUCCUAGACUAUGUUUUCCUGUCUUUAAAUAAAACAAGUGCAGGAGGCUCAUAUGAAUGAAAGUUAAA